CGGCGUAAAGCGUAGUUAAGAUAACAAACAAAUAGGACCGAAUACUCUCAAAGCAGUUAAAUGCAUUCGAGACCAACAAGCACACCCACGAAAGUGACCCUAAUAGUUCUGACCCUACGAAAGCUAUAACACAAACUGGGAUUAGAUACCCCACUAUGUAUUGCCGUUAAAAUUGAUGGUACUUCACUCGAACCAUUCGCCCGGGGAUUACAAGCCCAAGCUUAAAACCCAAAGGACCUGGCGGUGCUUUAGAUCCCCCUAGAGGAGCCUGUUCUAUAACUGACAACCCCCGGUAAACCUCACCACCCCUUGCCCAAUCCGUUUAUAUACCACCGUCGCAAGCUUACCCUACUGAAGGUUAAAAAGUGAGCCCCAACAGUAUCUCUGUGAACGUCAGGUCGAGGUGUAGCAUAUGGGGUGGGAAGAAAUGGGCUACAUUCCCUAAUGAAGAGAAUACGAACGGCGGUUUGAAAAAACUGCACUGAAGGAGGAUUUAGUAGUAAGGAAGGAAUAGAGUGCCCUCCUGAAAAUGGCCCUAAAGCGCGUACAAACCGCCCGUCACUCUCUCCGAGAUCUUUCUACUUAUUCCUAAUACGUAACAAUUCAACAAGGUGAGACAAGUCGUAACAUGGUAAGUGUACCGGAA
rnacentral:rRNA from 1 species